GAUGAACGCUGGCGGCGUGCCUAACACAUGCAAGUCGUACGAGCUCGAUCUUCGGAACGGGUUAGUGGCGCACGGGUGAGUAACACGUAGGUGACCUACCCCAGAGUGGGGGAUAACUUCUCGAAAGAGAGGCUAAUACCGCAUACACUCGGUCAUUCAUUUGGCCGAGCAAAGCUCCGGCGCUUUGGGACGGGCCUGCGUCCGAUUAGCUAGUUGGUAGGGUAAUGGCUUACCAAGGCUUUGAUCGGUAGCUGGUCUGAGAGGACGAUCAGCCACACUGGCACUGACACACGGGCCAGACUCCUACGGGAGGCAGCAGUGAGGAAUAUUGGGCAAUGGGCGAAAGCCUGACCCAGCAACGCCGCGUGAGGGAUGAAGGCCUUCGGGUUGUAAACCUCUUUUCUGGGAGAAGAGACAAGGACGGUAUCCCAGGAAUAAGUCUCGGCUAACUACGUG
rnacentral:rRNA from 1 species